rnacentral:rRNA from 1 species
AUCUCGGGAACUGAGGGUAAUACACCAUAGGCCUCCGGUACUGGAAUGUCCGGAGACCCAAAGCUCCGGCGCGAUAGGAUGAGUCUGCGGAUGAUUAGCUAGUAGGCGGUGUAAUGGACCACCUAGGCUAUAAUCAUUAAGGGUCUUGAGAGAGAUAGCCCUGAGACGGAAUCUGAGACACUAUUCCGAGCCUUACGGGGUGCAGCAGGCGCGAAACCUUUGCAAUACACGAAAGUGUGACAAGGGGAUUCCAAGUGUGCAUAUACCAUAUGCACUUUUUCGAAGUUUAAAACGCUUCGGGAAUAAGGGGUGGGCAAGACUAGUGCCAGCCGCCGCGGUAAAACUAGCAUCUCGAGUGGCAGCCACAAUUACUGGGCUUAGAGCGUCCGUAGCUCGUUCAGAAAGUCCCCGGUGAAAUCCUAUGGCUUAACCAUAGGGCUUGCCAGGGAAACUCCUGGACUUGAAGGCAGGAGAGGUCGGGGGUACUUCUGGGGUAGGGGUGAAAUCCUAUAAUCCUGGAAGGACCAACAGUGGCGAAGGCGCCCGACAUGAAUGCGCUUGACAGUGAGGGACGAGAGCCAGGGUCGCGAAACGGAUUAGAUACCCGUGUAGUCCUGGCCGUAAACGAUGUUGACUAGGUGGGGCGUGACCUUAGCGGUCAUGCUAUGCCGAAGGGAAACCGUUAAGUCAACCGCCUGGGGAGUACGACCGCAAGGUUGAAACUUAAAGGAAUUGGCGGGGGAGCACUACAAGGGGUGGAAGCUGCGGUUUAAUUAGAUUCAACGCUGGACAUCUCACCGGAGGCGACAGCAGGAUGAAGGCCAGACUGAUGGUCUUGCCGAACACGCUG